rnacentral:lncRNA from 1 species
GGUUAACAUUGUUAUUCAUACUUACCGGCUCAGGUAGGCAUCUCUAAAGAAACUUGUCACUGGAAAUAGAGUCUCAACUCGUCGUCCUUUACUGCUUUAACUUCCCUCUGGAAUCACAUUCAGAUAGAGGAAUGAUUAUUUCACAAUAAAUGCCUUUGGUCUUGACUGUCACGUCUAAUUGUACUCCAAUCCCUCCUCACGUUCAUUGGUCUGACUGGGGCAUAUGCUCAUUCUGGAACUAAUCCCAGUUCUGGAUUGUGCCCCGACAAUGCUGUUCAUUGACGGGCUUAGGCUUUCUCCCUCCUGAGCCAAUCACUAUGGUAGAAAGGAUGGAAUGACUGCUCUCUUCCAACAACAUCACUGUGACAUCAUAAGAGAGAUUUGAAAAGCAUCUUGGAGGACUUUCUAUGUCAAGCUCCCCAGAUGCACACCUUGAGACUAGGAUUUGCUGAGUCUAGCACCGUUCUCUGGGGGGACUCAGUCCAAGGAGGCUCCAGGCCAGCUGCUUGGGAUGAAUGUCAGGCACUGCGAUACAGACAGAAGAAAUGAUGUUAUGGCAGUUCACAACCCACCCUUUAAGAAGACUGGCAGAUCCCACCUCAGUCUCUUAGAAACUUGAGAUACCUUGUAAGAAAGCUGACUACCUGUAAGAGAAACCACAUGGAAAUCAUGAGAAUCCUUGGGAAAGGAGAGAGGCUCUGCUGAGCCCAGCCUUCCAGCCAAUUCCAGCAGGGUGAUGGAGCAUCAUGCGUGAUUCUCACAGAGCUCAAUAGACGUCGGGCAAGUGGAAGGCCAUCAGACCUCUCAGGUCACAGCAUCCAGAGCAUCCCGUUGGACACAUAAAGACUAAGUUACUUAACUGUGGAGAUUCCUCUCUCUUUCUCUCUCUCCUUCUUUCUCCAAACCCAGAUGUUUGGCAUCUCACCAAUAUCGUCCAAGACCUUCUGGAUUGGGAACAAAAUAAAUGUAGAGAAAGAGGAAGCAGUUUUAGUGAAAGCACCACAGGGAGCAAACCAAUAAAAAAGCAGGAAACUCAGCACAAGCCCGAUUUAUGUCGCUGCAUUUCCCUAGCACUCAGCCUAUUCCUCCAAACCCCAACACACACACACUCGUGUGCACACACACGUGCACUCACACAUGCACAUGUGCACACACACACCACAAGCGCCUGCUCCUAUUAGCUUUCUUUCCUGCUCUCACUUUUCAUUUUAAAGUCAAACAUUGGGUAAAAUUCUCUUUUUAUUUCACUCUCCUUCCCAUCUCUCUGAAAGAGCUUCAGAAGGGGAGUUUUGCAUGAGCGUCCUGAGGGCUCGUGGAUCUGAGACUGUACAGCUCCCUCACCUCCACAUUUCCCUGAUGGUCCUAUCUCUUUUUAAUAGUCAAUAAAACAUUGCUAUAGCCUCUAUUUUAGUUUCUGUUUCUAGACAACAAGAAAGAGAGAAAAGGUAGAAAGGAAGGAAGGGAGGGAGGGAGGAAGGAAAGAAGGGAGGAAGGAAGAAAGGAAGGAAGGGAAAGGAAGGAAGGAAAAGGAAGGAAGGAAAAGAAAGAAAGAAAGAAAAAGAAAGGAAGAAAGAAAGAGACCCAGUCUAUAAACAAAAACAUCAUGGCUUUCCCUUUUUCAACAGCUGGGGACAAUCAUAGCACUUUUGAGUUUUGUUUUGUUUUGUUUUGUUUUGUUUCUGUCAGGAGGCAGAGCCCCAUAGAAGUGAUGGUUCUCUUGGUGGGAACACAGAAGAAGCAAGUUGAGAAUGAGC